rnacentral:rRNA from 1 species
UACGUAGGGUGCGAGCGUUGUCCGGAAUUAUUGGGCGUAAAGGGCUCGUAGGCGGUUUGUCGCGUCGGGAGUGAAAACCUUGGGCUUAACUCAGGGCUUGCUUUCGAUACGGGCAGACUAGAGGUAUGCAGGGGAGAACGGAAUUCCUGGUGUAGCGGUGAAAUGCGCAGAUAUCAGGAGGAACACCGGUGGUGAAGGCGGUUCUCUGGGCAUGAUCUGACGCUGAGGAGCGAAAGUGUGGGGAGCGAACGGG